UAAUACGUAGGGUGCAAGCGUUAAUCGGAAUUACUGGGCGUAAAGCGUGCGCAGGCGGUUUUGUAAGACAGGCGUGAAAUCCCCGGGCUCAACCUGGGAAUUGCGCUUGUGACUGCAAGGCUGGAGUGCGGCAGAGGGGGAUGGAAUUCCGCGUGUAGCAGUGAAAUGCGUAGAUAUGCGGAGGAACACCGAUGGCGAAGGCAAUCCCCUGGGCCUGCACUGACGCUCAUGCACGAAAGCGUGGGGAGCAAACAGGAUUAGAUACCCUGGUAGUCCACGCCCUAAACGAUGUCAACUGGUUGUUGGGUAUUUACUUACUCAGUAACGAAGCUAACGCGUGAAGUUGACCGCCUGGGGAGUACGGCCGCAAGGUUGAAACUUAAAUGAAUUGACGG
rnacentral:rRNA from 1 species